GAUGCUGCAGGGGUCCCAAGGGAUGGGGAGUGAUGGGGGCAUGGAGRUGCAUGGGGUGACCUGACCCUGCCACCCAGAGCACUUUGGCCACGCUGUGAAAUAGAUGCAGCCCCUGUCUGAAGGGAAAAGUUCUGCUGYGGUUCCCAUUCCCAAGGUGAUGAGCCCCCAAAGAAAUAAUGCUGCUUGUUAAAAUUGACUGUGAUGAGUCUGAGAAAACACUGCUGGGAUGCUCUCAGGAAUGCCAGGACAGGCAGGUGUCGACAUCUCCGUGGAGGUCCCAGGGCAGAUUUGGGGACCCACUGAGGCGCCACAGUGUCCCCAGAGAGGCGGGUGGCCGUCCCAGCUGCAUUUCAGUGCCCAGGGCUCGGGGCUGUCACCAGCCUUCCCGGCCCUGCCGGGCGGUUUCUCAGCAAUGCUGGAGACUCAGACCACAAUAGAAGGAAAUCACUAAAGCUGAAUUGCUCCAAGUAAGUCCUCAGCAGGGUUUGACUGGUAAAUAUUUAACAAGGAGAACUCCCUAUCCUCUCCUGGUACGUAUUAAACUAAUACAUUUAUUUUAACAAGGGAAACGGUUUCCCCAAGCUCCCGCUCAAUUUGAGCCCUUGACUUCUACAAAAACCUCAGUAAGGUUGGCUUCCUGGGGCUCAGUAAUUCASUGGGACUAAACGAGAGAUGGCUCUGAGCCAUGAGCUUGGAGUCUGGAGGCGACAGGACCUCCCCAAGGUUGGGGAGAGCUCAGUCCUGGGGUUUCCAUUCCCACCUGCCUUCAGACAGGUCCAACGCYCACCUCAGGACAUCCCUGCCACCACCAGAUUGUGACCACCUCAGCCAUGCUGUGGAGACAGGUUGACCAUCUCCCACCACGGUUUCCAUGUGUUCUCAUGCCAAGUCCUCCCCACAGAAGCUUCACAAAUCCCCGGCUCCACCAGCGCCCAUCCCACCAUUCCUCAACCCCCAAUCCUUUCUGCUGCCUCUCCCCACGCCCAGACGGAGCCAGGGGUCAUGGGCAAGGACAUGGUGUUCAAUCCUUGUCCCCAGGCUGGUGAUGCUGGGGGUUUAUUCCCCCUUGGUUCCACUCUUUCCUCCUCCAUGGACCACAGGGGGACUGGCAACACCCUGAGAGCAAAAAGAUUCCCUGCCAGUGAUC